rfam:Trichobilharzia regenti genome assembly, scaffold: TRE_scaffold0041164
AUCCAGAUGACGAGUCCCAGAUAGGACGAAACGCGCUUCCUGGUGGAU